rnacentral:rRNA from 1 species
UACGUAGGUGGCAAGCGUUGUCCGGAUUUAUUGGGUUUAAAGGGUGCGUAGGCGGCUUUUUAAGUCAGUGCUGAAAUACUCUAGCUUAACUAGAGGGGUGGCAUUGAUACUGAAGAGCUUGAGUGUAGUCGAGGUAGGCGGAAUUGACGGUGUAGCGGUGAAAUGCUUAGAUAUCGUCAAGAACACCGAUAGUGUAGACAGCUUACUAGGCUACAACUGACGCUGAGGCACGAAAGUGUGGGGAUCAAACAGG